UGCAGAAGUGGCGGAAUUGGCAGACGCGCACGGUUCAGGUCCGUGUGGUAGCAAUACCGUGAGGGUUCAAGUCCCUUCUUCUGCAUC
rnacentral:tRNA from 1 species